rnacentral:lncRNA from 1 species
ACUCGGUGCCAUACCGACUAUCUAAAUUCCAUAUAUCUGGGGAUCAAACAAUGAUUAUUCGGCACGAGCAUUUACUACAUGCGAAUAUGGGUGCAAUAGUUGUUUACGAGUGGCCAACUUCCUGAUCUUAAUAGUGGUUAAUGAGGUAAUCACUCACAAAAUAUCAUAACUCCUAUGUCCUGGAUGUUUGGAAGCGCUAGUUACAUAGUAAUAAUUUUGUUCACUCUAUAUAAAUCGAUAAGUUACGGG